CGGCUCACCCACAGCUUCUUCUGGCCAGGCAUCUCUCAGGAUCUGAGGCAGUAAUACCAGAUAUCUGCCAGAGAGUGGGGAAGAGAAGGGACUGGCACAGGGCCUCCCUCCAUCACCUACCUAUUAGUGAAGCUCCGUUCCGCAGAGUAGCUGUCGACAUUAUAGUUGUGCAGGCACUUUGGUGACUCUAGAGAAACUUGGGCCAAUCGCACGUCCCCGUGAAGGUGACUUUGCAUUCGGAUAUCUGUCCUAUCAACUUUCGAUGCCACUUUCUGCACCUAACAUGGUGACCACAGGAAACGGUGAAGCAGGGUUCGAUUCCGGAG